GGGGCUAUAGCUCAGUUGGGAGAGCGCCUGACCGGCAGUCAGGAGGUCGAGGGUUCGAGUCCCUCUAGCUCCA
rnacentral:tRNA from 1 species